AGCCCCAGGAACGGGUGUCGAUGGACUGGCAUUUCUCCCACUUGUGGUCUGGAAGUUUACCAGAGCCAAGAAAGAAACUGGGUGGAGUUCCAGUACGUAUCCGGAGCUGCCCAGUCCCCAUCAGACCAGAUCAGAUCAGCUGCAGCCAGCUCUCCCACCAGGUCCCGGUGAGGACCGACAUCCACUGAGUUCCAGUUCCAGGAGCCUGCUGAGGGCCAGUUUGUGAAUCCUUCAUGGUGUUUGGAUGUGAAAACCACAUACCUUGUCUGUACAGGUGCAUGUUGCAGUUGCAGCUGGUGCUGAGCAAACAGUGAUAACAAAAGGGACCUGCUCCACUCUUCAUCCCACUCAGAUGCAAGGGCGUAGCAAAGGGCCGCAGGUCGGAUUCCAACCCAUGGCUGCUGUGGUUAGGACUAAGCCCAUGUGGUACGCACUCUACCAGGAUAACCUUCCCCAGCUGAGCGGGCCUGUCUCCACCUGCAGGGGGAUCACUGACUUCCUGUCUGAGUCAGCACAUCAAUCUGGGGAAACAUAUCCCUGACUCCCAGACCAUCAGCACCAGAUCGUACCAAGGCUGUGUCUUUUCUCCUCUGCUCUUCUCCCUGUACACCAACAUCUGCACCUGUAGUCAUCUUUAAGUCAAGCUCCUGAAGUUUGCAGAUGACACCACCCUCAUUCGACUUAUCUCUGAUGGGGGAUAACUCUGCCUACAAGUGGGAGAUUGACCAUCUGGUGUCCUGGUUCAGGCAGACCAAUCUGGAGCUGAAUGCUCUUCAGAUUGUGGCGAUCAUAGUGGACUUCAGAAAGAACCCUGCCCCACCCACCCCUAUCACCCUGUGUGACUCCUCCAUGGACACCGUGGAGUACUUCUGUUUCCUGGGCACCACUGUCACACAGGACCUCAAGUGGGAACAUCAGCUCCCUCACCAAGAAAGCCCAGGAGAGGACGCUCCUUUGGCAGUUGAAAAAGUUUAACUUGCAAAGGACAAUGAUGGUGAACUUCUACGCCCCCCACCCCAACCCCCACAACCUUGAACCAUUGCACAUUCCCCCUGUGAACUAUUGCACAUACACACCAACCUCAAUCAUUUUGCACAGUGUACAUGUUUGUGUUGUAUAUAUUUAUAUUGCUCUAUUUAUUCUUUUCUGUAUUUAUUGUGAAUAUUUUAUGUGUAUUGUUAAAUUUUCAGAACUGCAGUACUUUCUUGUUUCAUCUCUGUUUGUGUUUCUUUUUUUCUUACUAUGUUUGUUGAUAUGCGCCAAAACACCAAAAUAAAUUCUGUGUAUGUUGAAAACCUACAUGACAAUAAACCAGAUUCUGAUUCUGAUUUUGAUUCUGAUUGACUCUUACUAUACUAUGACUUUUUUGUGCCUUAGUAUACUAUGACGUUUUAUGCUAUACUAUAAGGUUUUUAUGAUAUUUUAUGCCUUGCUAAAAAAUGACAGUUUCAUGGAAUUCUAUGCCUUAGUACAGUAUAACGUAUUUAUACCUUACUAUACUAUGACGUCUUAAUCACAUUUUUCCCCUUACAAUAAUGUGACAUUUUUACGUUUUUGCCUUACUAUACUAUAUUUUAUACCAUACAAUACUAUGACGUUUUUUGACCUUUUGUGCCUUACAAUAACUAUGAAAUACUUUGACGUUUUUAUGCCUUAAUAUAAUAUAAUAUUAUUUGACGUUUUAUGCCUUAUUGUACCAUUACAUUUUUUACCUUAAUAAACAAUGACGUGUUUGUGAUAUUUCAUACCAUACUAUAGCAUGACGUAUUUUGACGUUUUAUGCCUUACUAUACUAUGACAUUAUUUGACGUUUUUAUACCUUACUAUACUAUGACGUUUUUUGACGUUUUAUGCCUUACUAUACUAUGAUGUUAUUUGACGUUUUUAUGCCUUAUUUUACUAUGGUGUUUUUAUGCCUUACUAUACUAGGAUAUGUCAUACCAUACUAUAGCAUGACGUAUUUUGACGUUUUAUGCCUUAUUAUACGAUGCCGUGUUUAUGCCUUACUAUACUAUGAUGUAUUUUGACGUUUUAUGCCUUACUAUUGUAUGACCUUUUUUGACAUUUUAUGACUUACUAUACUAUGACGUUUUAUGACUUACUAUACUAUGACGUUUUAUGCCUUACUAUACUAUGAUAUCUUAUGUCUUACUAUACUAUGACCUUUUUUGACGUUUUAUGACUUACUAUACUAUGACGUUUUAUGACUUACUAUACUACGACAUUAUUUGAUGUUUUUAUG